CAAGGAGUAGUUUAAUAAAAAUUUUAAUUUUGGAGAUUGAAGAUGGAAGAAUAACUUCUCUCCUUGA
rnacentral:tRNA from 1 species